rnacentral:lncRNA from 1 species
AGGCUGCAGAAAGGAAUCUCCUGAGGGAGUUAUUCUGAAGAAGGGAAGUUCCUCUGGUCUGGUGUCUACUAGAAUUGCUUUUCCUUGAAACUCUGCCUUCUUCUGGAAGGCAGAAAUCUAACAUGAUUCAAUGGCUACAGCUGUGGAAGUGUGCAGAGGAAAGCAUUAGACCAGGGUUCUCAUCCCUGGCUUGCACACCCAGAGCCUGGCCUGCACACCUAGAGCCUGGACCCAAAAACAACAAAAAAGUGAUGGAACUGGAUGCUCUCCCAGUCUUACAUUUCUAUGUAAAUGUGAAAGAGAAACAUGGCUACAAGGACCAGGUUUGAAAUUUUUCACUAUAAAAAGUUUUUGAAAAUAAGGAGCCCCAGAGAGAAUUCCUAGAAGAUGGCAGAGGAGGAAAAAGAGGAACCUAUCUUCCCACCUAGAUAAUAAUUUUACCAGUAGAAUCUGUCUAAUGAUUUUCUCCUCUGGAUUUGCUCUGGCACCUCGAAGAAGCUUAGGGGAACAGUUCAGCUUUGCUCUUCCUGAUAAUUAGUGGCUUUCCUGAUGGUGUGGUUCAACACACCCACCAGAGACGGAAGAUGUAAACAACAUGUGUGCUCCAGAUGGACUCUGAAAUCCAGGCUCCCACUUUAUGACACACUCCUCUACAACACCAGAGACUCCCAAACACAAGGCCUUAUAUUGACUCAUUUCAGCUCACAUCCUGGCGACUCUCAAGAGAGAAACCUCAGAGUGACUAAAAUCUCCAUAAUGAGAAGACAUGUACAUUCAGUAUCUAUUUUGAAAGAAUCCCCACAACUGAUACCUUCCUGGCAGAACUGACUUCAGGAAAGGCAACUCAGGCAGAUAUUCGAGUAGGCCUAGACUGUGUGGGCCUGUGGCCAGUCUCACAACAAAACAGAAUCAACAGCCUUGCAGUCUCAGAAAUGCAGUGGUCAUUCUGGUAAGCAAUAGUCAAAACUAAAAUUUCUUAAACUGAUUUUUUGCCUCUAUGGUCAAAGGAGAACUGAUCCUACUUGUUAUUUCAUAGAUGGAAAAAUCCAUUUGCCAAUCAGGAUGUGUCUGAUACUCCUUUUUUUUUUGGUUUCAAGAGUAAAGUCAAGAAAAGCUGCUUUUUGAAAGUCAAAGAAUCACAGUAGUUGUUAUUUCUUAGUGCUUACUAUUUGCUACAUGCUUCACAUACGUGGUCUCAUUUAAUCUUCCCAAACAAUUUUGCCAUAAUAUUAUUACAACCAUGUUGAAUCUGAAAAUAAUAAUAAUAAUAAUAAUAAUAAUAAGGCUUAGAGAGGUUGAGUAACUUACCUAAGGUUACCAAAUUAGUAAAGACUGAACUGGGAUUUAAAAGCAAGAUUUGUAGAAUUUUUCUCCAAAACCCAGAAUCUCUGCAUUGAGCCAGCCUGCCAUUCUGAGACAGACAACAUUCAUAACACUUGCAUAUUGUUUGUACAGUGUUCAUUGUUUAAUGUAGGGCACAUUUCAUACAUACCAAGAGGAAUCAUAUGCUUAUUCUUGCUAGUAUAUGGCAAACUUUUCCAUUCUAUAAUACAAAUAUGACUGAUGACUGCUGUCAUCAGCCCAGCAAAUCACCUUUCAUCACAGGUACACAGAUGACAAAUACAGAGUACGGAAGGAGUCAGCUGAAGGUGCUGCUUGCCUGGGCUGUCUUUUUUUUUUUUUUGUUACAUCUGCCACUUCAUUUAUUUUAUUUGCAGGAGGAGUUGAAACCAAUUUUAAGGGAGAUUUUCAUUUUCCCCCUAAACAUGAAUCAUUCAAGUAAAACCAACUUAACUAUAGAAAUGUAGCAAAGUAAGGGGAAAGCAGCACAACAACCCAAGAGGCAAAGGCUGGGGGGAAGGGGUGGGUGCAGUCUGCGUAUAACAUAUGCACAAAUGCCUUAUGAUUCCCCUGCUCAGGACCGCCUCCCCAGAAGGCAAGCACAAGGGCCCAUUUUAAGAGGAUGUUUCCCCCCAAACAUCUGAGAGCGCUUCAACUUAAACAGCUUACGGUUAAAAAGACAAAAAAGAAAGCAAAACUAACCAAAGAAACUCCAAAAAACCCCAUGAACCACCCAGCCAUAACUGCCUUCCUUAAUCGAUCAUAGGAGUUUCAUUUUAUAAAAAGAUAAAUAAAAAACAUU